CAGCCGCCGCGGGAAUACGUAGGUGGCAAGCGUUGUCCGGAAUUAUUGGGCGUAAAGGGCUCGCAGGCGGUUUCUUAAGUCUGAUGUGAAAGCCCCCGGCUCAACCGGGGAGGGUCAUUGGAAACUGGGAAACUUGAGUGCAGAAGAGGAGAGUGGAAUUCCACGUGUAGCGGUGAAAUGCGUAGAGAUGUGGAGGAACACCAGUGGCGAAGGCGACUCUCUGGUUUGUAACUGACGCUGAGGAGCGAAAGCGUGGGGAGCGAACAGGAUUAGAUACCCCAGUAGUCCCUGUCUCUUAUAC
rnacentral:rRNA from 1 species